GUAGAGCUUCACUGUAAUUGUCUGUAAGCAUGAGAAGACUCAUCUCUUCUCUGUCUCUCUCUACCAGAAAACCCCAUUUUUUACUUCUGUAUCACCUUCACCACACACAAACAAAGCCCACGCAGAGCUCCCCCAUAGCCCAUUUGAAUCCGAGCCCAAUAGACCCAUUAAACUAUCUCCUCACUUUCAUCCCCCAAAUCAAAGCUCUCUCAGAAAACCCAAGAAACAAGAAUGCUCUCACUUCACUAGACUCACUUUUGGGCCAAGCCCAUUUCUUGGAUUCUGCUGCCUCACUGAUUGUGAUUCAGUAUUUGUGUGAAAUUAAGAAGCUUGGGAGGGCUAAAGAUGUGUUCUUGAAGCUCAAGAGUGAGGGUAAGCUUAAAGAUUGCAUUUUGUUUAGUUUAGUGUAUGAUUGUUUGGUUGCUAAUAGUGGAAUUCAUGAUGUUGAGGUUGUGUGGAAUGAGCUUUGUGGGAAUGAUUUAAAGAUUGAUGUUUGUGAUUAUGUUGUUUAUGUGUGUAAGUUUUGUGGGCGUGAGGAAAUUAAGGGUAUUUUCGAGAGGGUUGUGAUGGGAGGGAGGGUUUUGAGGAGGGAAAGCUAUGGCGCAUUGAUUGGUGCUUUGUGUAGGGAGAAUGAGGGGGAGUUGGGGAAAGAGGUUAUGAGGGUGAUGGGUGGUUUGGGGAUUGAAGUUGAUUGUUUUAGUUAUUAUGUUUUGUUUCGGUGUUUUUGUCGGAAUGGGAAUGUGGAUGAAGCUGAUUGGGUUUUGAGGGAAUUGGUGAAGAGGGAAUUUUAUAUUGAUAUAUGUGUGUAUGGGAAUUUUUUGUAUGGUCUUUGUAAAACGGGAAAAUUUAGGGAGGCGAAGAAGUUGUUUCUUAGGUUGACGAAGCAGGAUGGUGUGGGAGGGUAUAAGAAUGUGGAUUUUUUGAAGGAGGGAAGAAGGGUGAUCUUUCAGUUAAAGUGUGAGGAUAAUGUUCCGAAUAUAUUGGCUUAUGAAUCAUAUUUUCGUUCUUUAUGUGAUAUAGGGAGGCUUGAUGAGGCUGAAGUGUUGUUGAAAAAGAUGAUGAAUAGUAGAAUUGUGCCCGAGAUAUGUGUGUAUGGUUCGUUUAUAAAGGCUCUUUUUGCUGCUGAUCGAGAUAAAGAUGCAAUAAGAUUUCUUCAAGUUGAGAAGAAGAAAGGUCUAGUUAAAGUUGAUGAGAUUGCGAGUUAUGUCAUUAAGGGUUUGUGUCAGAAGAGGAAACUUGAUGAGGCUGUGAGAAUCUUUGACGAAACUUCUGUGCUCGGGGAAUUUCUUAAUCGUACAAAUAUUUGUAAUUGUAUACUAGGUAAUUACUGGAAAGAAGGUAGAUCGGCGGAGGCAGAGAACUUGUUUAGAAGGUUGAAGGAAGGUAACUACGGAUUGCGUGAUGCAUCGACAUACGAAGUCAUGAUUAAUGGAUAUUGCAACCAAAGUAAUGGUGUAAAGGCACUCCUCUUAUUUCAAGAAAUGGUGGAUAGGAAAAUCAUUAUUAGCUGUGCACUAUAUGAGGUAAUAAUUAGAGCCUUGUGUUCAUGUGGAAGUCUAAGGGAAGCACUUAAAUAUUUGAAUGAUAUGGUUGAAAGUGGAAACAUGGUAUAUAGCAGGAGAUGGAAGAUAUUUAUUAGCUCAACAUUUGCUGCAUUGGAACAUGGUAUUUCCAGUGACUUUUGAAGUAUUCACUUGAUUAGAAUAAUGACAUAUAUGUUCCCUCACAUUGCCUGUCUGGAUUUUCCGUGUGAUCUUAGUAAGGUUAAACGACACUGAAACUCUUAUUAUUAAAGCAUCUACAGAAACUACCAACAACAAAGUAUCUGCAGGAACUCCUAAUGCCAAAGAAACCGGAGGAACUCCUAAUACGAACACAUCUAAUGUGACUCCUAACAGCGAAGGAUCACUAACAACUUGCCAGUAGAGUUAUUCCACCUCAUCAACUUCGUCAGUCUGCUAUUACCUAAAGUUGACAAAUCAUCCCAACAUGAAGAAUCUUCCAUGGACAUACCAAAGUCUAGACACCAGUUGAAAAUUGCUUAUGAUUUGCUCAAUUCAGAUUUAGCAACUUUUCUUGAAAAUUCCUGCUGAAACCAGACCGGAUUUUCUAUGACUCUGGCGCAAUGGGUACCUUCUCUAACAGCUGGCCUUGGCAUUUCAAGUUGUUAUUUGUGUCUUUUAGUGCGGCUUGCAUGGCUUUCUUGGGUGCACCAUCAUUUUUAAUGAGUAAGAUUGAUGGUAGAUUGACCGUUUAUGACUCCACCGUGAUGCCGAAGUGGGUGAUAUUUCCAUUCAGCAUCGCGUAUCACCUGCAUUGGCGGCUCUGACACGCCUGAGCCAGUUAGAUCCGGUGCUUCUAUUGGCGGCUCUGACAUGGUUUCGGUCAGAGCUUGAGCCCGAAUGGUUUAAUCUUGUUCACGAGCCUUGUCAAAAACCUGUUGUUCCUGUAGGCUUGUUGCCUCGAUCAGCAUUUGACCGAUAAUAAUACAUAAUGUAUUAUCAUAUUGAAAUAAUGUAUUUUAUUGGAUAACAAGUUAAAAUAAUGAUUAUAUGUCCCUUUUUUUU